rnacentral:tRNA from 2 species
GCAAGGCUUCCGUGGUCCAAUGGUUAGGAUUCCACCCUUCCAAGGUGGAGGUUCGUGUUCGAUUCACGGCGGUUGCA